GGGUCAGUAGGUUGGUCGUGCCACCGGUACGUACUGGUCUCACUGAUUCCUCCUUCCUGAAGAACCGUCAUGCCAUUAAUUUGGUGUUGCGGGGAAACAGGACUGUUACUUUGAAAAAAUUAGAGUGUUUAAAGCAAGCUAACGCUUGAAUACAUUAGCAUGGAAUAAUGAAAUAGGACGAUCGAUCCUAUUUUGUUGGUUUCUAGGAUUGACGUA
rnacentral:rRNA from 1 species